GGAGGAGGAGGCCACAGGGAGCCCAGCAGAGGACAGCAGGACACGAGAAGCUGGGAGCCCUCCUGGGCAGCAGGACAUGGACCCCCCGCCCGGGGCGGUGGAGAUCAGAGACUUCCAGAGGGCCACCCAAGCACCCAGAUGUCCUCCAUCACCCGGGGGGUCGCUGCCCUCAUGACCCCA